UCACCCCACAGACUCAGACUGGGAGAGGGGGGUUACUGUUUGUGUGGGAAGUGCAGAUUGGGUGAGACUUGAGGGACCUGAGGCUAAGGGAGGAGGAGAUGGUGUAUAUGGGCAAAAGCUCGAGUGCUUAGAGGGUGUAGUCAGUCUGAAACAAAGACUCAGUCAGAUACACCUGUUGGGUCUUAGCAGUUGUUAGUUGGAGUACUUAUCGCCUGUUUUGUAAAGGGCUCUUCGAAAUGGUUCUGUGAAGAAUGCCCUUCUCUGUGAUAUGUUUUGAAUAGUCAGUGUUCCCCUGUCUUUAGUAGGCAACAUAAUGUUCCUUAUGCAAGUUUUUUUCUGUACUGUUAUUUUUAGUUUCUCAUUCCCGCUCUCCUGUCUCACCGUUCUGUUGUCUCUGCUUUUGUGCGUUCUCUGUGCCAAACUCACAUUGCUGCACUUCUAGUCCCACCCCUGCUCUCUCAUUUGCCUCGUGGUGUUUUCCCAAGCUCAUUGCGCACUCGGGUUAUAGCUAUCAGGGAUCCUUGGGACGUACCUAACCGUAACCAUUUUACAUGUCAAUGAGUUGGACGUCCCAAGGGUCCCUCCUCCAACCACCACAUUGGUCAAACAGUUUUUUCCUCUGUAGGGCCAGCAGGCUAAAUGUUAAUGGGCCGUGUGUGUUGGUGUAGGAUGUGUGAUAUGGUUGGGAAAUGAGACCACUGGGUUGUCAGCGUAAAGCAGGAAACUCUAGCUCUGAGAGGAAGUGUAUGUGUUUACCCGUGUGGCUGUGGAGGAAUGAGGCUGCUCGCCUCCCAUCUCCUGUGCUUAAUGAUCCUCACCCGGGGGCUCUUGUGUCUGCACGGCAGUGAGCUCAGCCCGGGAAGGAUCUGUCGAACUUCAGUCUCCCAAGCCCAGCCCCCUCUCUCCCCUCGCCAGCACAGCCAACUGUCACACCUGGCCGACUGGCCGUGACAUUGAGACUGCAAUGACAUUGAGACUGCAAUGAAACACAGCUGGCUCUCCUACUUGAGUGACCAUGGGAAUCAGCAGUUGCUAUGUGUGUGCCUCCUUGUUUUCCCUGUGUUGUAUGACGCUGUAGAUUACCAAUGGCAAAGUGGUAGAAGAUGGGUCCUUUACUAGGUGUCGCCUAAUGGGAAUCCUAAUAAAUACAAUCAAGAUUCACAUGUAAACAGUUUUGUCGAGUUGUUGUUUUCAGGGGCCAAAUGGAGACCAUAACCAGGUAGCACAGAGGCCACCAUGUUUUGAAUGUGUCAGAAUGUGGCCCCAGGGUUUCACAGCAGUAAGUGCGAGAGGGGCGGUCCUAUCACCAGAGCUCCAACCAACUCACUAUGCAUCCAGAUAGGUGGUAUGCAGGCAUCCAACUUAUUUAUCGAUCUUUGGUUCUUCUCAAGGUCAGGUAUGAGACUGUAUCUCAAUGCUCUCUGGAGCGAAUGCAUGGCACAUCCUGAGGAUGCAAGGGCGUCUUCCUGUGUUAUGGUGUGCCUUGCUACGUGUCGCGUGGGAGGGGAGGUUUGAGUGUUGUUGUCAAUUGAUGGCUCCUGUAGGAGCCAUGUAAGAGGAGGAGUGGGAAGGUAAGUGAGAAUAGCCUUCACACAAUGAAGGCAGGCCUCCCAACCCCCUCCCUCUAACUGCCUACUUGAACCCCUCCUGGAGCUGUUAACGGCAUUGGCAUGGAAAGUAUCUGCAGUGAGGCUCUGCAGAGAAGCCAGCCCUGAUAACAUGGCCUCUAUGGGUCUGCUGGAGCUCUGGAGCCAUCAGAUACAGCCCCAGUGGCAGGACUUAUCACACAAGGCCACACAUUGUCGUUGGGACACGAGCAUUGAUUGGGAGAACUGGGCGCUUUUCUUAUAUCUUCAAAUGCAUCCGCCAGUCUACUCACUCUUCUGUUGACUGUCUUGUAGAAUCACUGACUGAGCAUGUGUUCUGUUUUCUUUGUAGUGUGGCCCUAUGGUGAAUGCUUUAAAUGAGCAGUGGCCUUUGACACUGGGCCUCCCUGGCUCUACCUGGGGUAUCUGCCGGCCUGCGGAGCGAGGAGCUCUGGGACCUUUGUGCACACAUUCAAUCAACCUGCUGUGUUAACCCACCACAGAGGCUCUGUUUACGUAAUCAUCAGCAAAUGUUUGUGAAUUGUGUGGGUGUUUUUUCUCUUGACGCAAGAGGCUCAUGGCUGCAGCACACAAACUGAAGUCCAUUCCUUUGAAUGGUAUUGGCCCAUCGUUGAGUGAAAAUAUGUCCUGUGUUAGUCAGAGCCACUGACAUUGUGUAACAAAGGACAUGUCAAUGGCUCUGCUGACUGUAACACGGGACAUAUUUUCAGUCAACAAUGGGCCAAUCCCAUAUUAUGGCAGUUUUGACACCAGUGAUUUGCUCAUAAUGCCAGAAGCCAACCUCUGACCCUGUAUUCCAAGUGUGACGCUGCAAGCCACACACACACACUGGCCAGCUACCCUACCGUAGCAAGCUACAGAAAAGCCUUUGACAGUGCUAAAGGGGUUGAAGGUGCACUUUAGAGGAUGUGACACACCCUUGACUGAGCAUUGACUCACCUUCCAAUCAUCCUUCAAGCAUUUGACUCCCCUAAGGAGUGUUUAUCAGGCUGCUUUGUCAAGUUUUACUUCCUUGGUGAUAAGUCUGUCAACCCUUUGAUUUGGAUUGUUGACAAAGAUGGACAGGCAUAUCUUUGUCUUAUCCAUGUUCUAUCUGUACGAUGUGCAGAUCAUCGGGUUAACCUAGUGUAAGUGGUUCCUUGGGGCGUAGAGCGUGUUUUUGCUAUGUGUUUGAUCCCGGCAGUUUGAGCUCCUUGCAGGAGAGCUCCAGCUGCAGUGAGUGUCCCUCAUCACGGCCCUUAAAACACACUCUGCUUGAUUAACGGUGAGCCCACAGAGGGAUCGCCGUCACACUGAAGAAAGGGCACACACCCCACACUAAUUCCCUUUCCUUUGCCAUCUGAGCUGCCGAGUGGCACUUCAAAGGUGGAGUGGGAUGGUGUUAAUCCAGGACUGCUCUGCUGGGCUGGGCCCUGGCUCCCCCGGACGGCCCCAGGUUUGAAGUGUGAUCAAAGUGCAGUCUGCCACUGAUAGAUGGGGCCCAGGGGCUUGUUGUCAUGGGACCAGGAAGUGCCAGGGAGCGUGACACAGGAUCUCAGUGUCCCCCUGUUGACGGAAGGAGGGGGACCAGAUUAGAACCAAAAGUCCUCAUGAUAACCUACAGUACACACACACGGACACAGACUUACAUUCACAACAAGUCUACACACUCAUACACUCCCUCUCUCUCUCGUUUCCAAGGCUACACACACAGAUAUGUUUUUGUUAUCCUACAUGUACGUAUGUACAGUGGGGGAAAAAAAGUAUUUAGUCAGCCACCAAUUGUGCAAGUUCUCCCACUUAAAAAGAUGAGAGGCCUGUAAUUUUCAUCAUAGGUACACUUCAACUAUGACAGACCAAAUGAGGGGAAAAAAUCCAGAAAAUCACAUUGUGGGAUUUUUAAUGAAUUUAUUAGCUAAUUAUGGUGGAAAAUAUAUAUAUUUUUAUAACAUUGGAUAAAGUAGAGACCUAGCUGGAAAAUGUUAUGUCAAACACUGCAGUUGACGAAAAUGGAAAGUUAUUCUGCUUUGAAUGUGGAUAAACUUGUAACCCCACUUUUGAGAAAAUGGCCCAUGAAUGUUUUGGUACACCUACUGGAGAGCUCUUUGUCUACACCCAUAUAGCAUCGUUCACACCCUCUUAAGCCUCACCCAUCCCUUUGAUUCACAUGAGGCCACGUGCUAAAGAGUGAGUAGUGUAGUAAACAACCAGAAAUUUCAAGACUAAAUGUGUUUAAAACUACAAUAAGGAAACUCAAGGUAAUAUAUAUAUAUAUAUAUAUAUCUUUUUUUUAAUUGAACCUGGUAAAACCCAUUUGAGGUUAACCAGUUGGAUUUAGGGGGCGCUAUUUUAAUUUAUGGAUGAAAAACGUUCCGUUUUAAACAAGAUAAUUUGUCACAAAAAGAUGCUCGACUAUGCAUAUAAUUGACAGCUUUGGAAAGAAGACACUCUGACGUUUCCAAAACCGCAAAGAUAUUGUCUGUGAGUGCCACAGAACUGAUGUUCCAGGCGAAACCUAGAUAAAAAUCCAACCAGGAAGUGCCGCAUUUCUUGAAACCGCCUCAUGCCAAUGACUCCUUAUAUGGCUGUGAAUGAGCUACGAAUGAGCUUACGUUUUCCACGUUUCCCCCAAGGUGUCUACAGCAUUGUGACGUCUUUUUAGGCAUUUCCCUUGAAUAAUGGCUGUAAGGGACCAUAUAUGGCAUGUGGUCACAUGGUGUCUCCCGCAGAAAACCUUGCGUAAAAUACUGAGGUAGCCAUUUUUCCAAUCGCUUCUUAUGAGAAACCAACUGCCUCGACGGAUAUAUUAUCGAAUAUAUAUGUUAAAAACACCUUGAGGAUGGAUCCUAAACAACGUUUGCCGUGUUUCUGUCGAUAUUAUGUAGCUAAUUUUGAAAAAGGUUUGGCGUUUGGUAAACAAAUCCAAACGCGCGUGCAAGUCCAGCGGAAAGGUCGGACGAAAAUUCCAAAAAGUUAUAUUACUGGUCGUAGAAACAUGUCAAACGAAGUAUAGGAUCAAUCUUUAGGAUGUUUUUAUCAUAAAUCUUCAAUAAUGUCCCAACUGGAGAAUUCUUUUGUCUGUAGAAAAGCAAUGGAACGCGCACUAACUCUCAUGACCGCACAUCACGCGCCCGUGGCUCUCAGGUUUUUGCAUGCCAUGAGUUCUGUUAUACUCACAGACAUCAUUCAAACUGUUUUCGAAACUUCAGUGUUUUCUAUCCAAUACUACUAACAAUAUGCAUAUAUUAGCAUCUGGGACUGUAACCAGCAGUUUACUCUGGGCACGCUUUUCAUCCAAAAGUGAAAAUGCUGCCCCCUAUCCCAAUACUGACUUGCCUAGUUAAAUAAAUGUAAAAACAAAAAAAGUCAAAACAGGGAAAUGGCAUCGUGUCCAUAAAAUAUUACAGAAAAAUACACAAAUUACUGAUACAAUUGAAGAUUAGAAACUGCAGUUAUCACAAACAGUGUUGUCGAUCAGUCUUAAGAAUAGACAAGGACGGCAGCGACUGUGAACAAAGACUGUAGUGAGUGACUGAUCUGGUCAGUAAAGAACAUAGAUACAAAGGCAGUUGUGUACAAAGCAUUGAUGGUACAAGUGUGCCAGUGCCUUAGCCUCCUGGUGGAGAGAGGGGUCCAUUGCACCAUAGCAUACACAUCACAGUGAUGGGUGAGUGAUCCAGCAUUUGUAAUACAUUUUAAAGCUCCAUGAUAGUGUCCAGAAUGUAAGGUACUUGCUGAGCCCUGCAUAUAGACAAUAUCACCACAAUCCAGCACUGAUAGUGCUUUGAACAAGAUCCUUUCUGACUUAACAUUGGAAAGCAAGAUGUUUUUCCUGAAAUAGAAACCCAAUUUAAACUUAAAGUUUGUCACAUGCACAGGAUACAGAAUAUGUAAAUGGUACAGUGAAAUGGCUACUUGAAUUGUAACAAUAUCAAAAACUGAAAGUGUCCAGAUAAGUAUUUUAUAAUUAUUAGAUGAUGCUUACCCAGACGGGCGGCAGCGUAGCCUAGUGGUUAGAGCGUUGGACUAGGAACCGGAAGGUUGCGUGUUCAAACCCCCGAGCUGACAAGGUACAAAUCUGUCGUUCUGCCCCUGAACAGGCAGUUAACCCACUGUUCCCAGGCCGUCAUUGAAAAUAAGAACGUGUUCUUAACUGACUUGCCUGGUUAAAUAAAGGUAAAAUAAAAAUAAAUAAAACACACUUGUCUAAAUUGAUGGGUCAUGUGAAAGAAAUGCUAUACCUCUUCCCCACCAGCCACAUCCACCUUAGUGGAGGGGUCACUGUUGUUGUUUAGACGUGUACACAUGUUCAUGAAAUGCAAUAGAUGGCUGUAUUCACCCCCAGACAAACCUGGUUAACUAGAUGAGUCCUGUAAUCAUCUGGCAAAGUGGAGUCUUUGUUUUUGACAGUUAGCUAAACAAUAAACCAGGAUUAUGCCAAUUUAUGCUACUACCACCAAUACAAACUGAUUGUCAUAGCUGUUGUAUGAAUCUGCAUCUAGUUCAAACUAACCAACUUGGUUCAAUGUUAGCUAGCUAGUGAACAUUAGGAUAUAACUAGCCAUGCAAAUGGUUUUCUGAUAAUAAUACUACACAGAUCAUAUACAUAACGUUAGCGAGCCAGCAAGCUAACAUUCGCUAGUUGGUUAACAGUAUUCUUUAGCUUGCAAUGAAAAUUACUUUCUGACAUUUGAAACUUAUAUCUGAAUGUAGCUAUACUCUUACUUGUAUACAUGGAUGAACGCUUCACGGCAGACUGGAACCAUUUAACUACAUUUCGUUUGUAGCUACAUCUUGUUUAGCCAGCGUUGUCAAGUCAUUAUGGUUCAUACUGACCGUGGCAUGUACAGAAAGUAGCCCAUCACAACUUUUUCCAACUGAUCUGUCAAUAGCGCCUGCUAAAUUCAGGGCCUCAAUAUUGAUAAGAAAAGUAGAAACCUCUCGAGGGCUAAUCUUAUACUGCAUCUUUCAAAAAAGACUACAAAGGAUUGUCAGCACAUUCUGAGCAGCUCACGUUGUAGACAGAAGCAUGCUACAUAGCAGACCAAUCUAAACUUAUCUCCCGGCAUGUCCUGCCCAUCCAUUAUCUCAGCCAAUCAGGAACCUUCCUGCUAGCCAUGUCUAUUUCCGUGUCUAAACCAUCUAGGCUCUUAAUUUUAACAAUUUUAUUUGUAUUUACAGAUGGAGUAAAAGUUGGCACAUGAAAGGCACAUGAAAGUUUGCGUUUCUGACAAGUGCAUUACGAUAAAUAAAAGUUCAAAUGUGCCUUCUGUCACGUGAUGUGCGACGUAUGCCUAGAUUCCUAAAACGGGUCAUGUGUAGAGAUGCAGGAAAUUAGCUUUAAAAAUAUAGCCUCAUUCCAAAACAUGUAGAUUAGCUAUAAAACUACAGAUGUUUCUAUUUGCUCAUGGCAAAAUGUAUAGAUUUGUAUGAAGUUAGCUGUUUUUCCCAUAAACUAUUUUUCUUAGGGGGGGGGGGGUCGGUCGGUCGGUUAUCAUAUUUGUAUUUGAACAAUGCAGUUCAAGAAAUAGAGUUGUAGCAUAACAGUCUUGUAUCAUAGCAUCCGGGCAAGGGAGCGCUUUGAAUGAGUCUCUGUAUGUGGAGUAAAGGUGGUCUAGAGUUUAAAAAAUAUAUUUCCUCUAGUUGCACAUGUGACACGCUGGUAGAUAUUAGUUAAAACGGAUUUAAGUGUGCCUGCAUUAAUGUCCCCGGCCACUAGGAGCGCAACUUCUGGAUGUGCAUUUUCUUGUUUGCUUAUGGCCUUACACAGCUCGUUGAGUGCAGUCGAGUGCCAGCAUCAUUUGUGGUGGUAGAUGGACAGCUACGAAUAAUAUAGAUGAGAACUCUCUUGGCAGUUAGUGUGGUCUACAGCUUAUAAUGAGGUACUUUUUCUCAGGCUAGCAGUACCUCGAGACUUCCUUAAUAUUAGACAUUGGACCAGCUGUUAUUGACAUAUAUAUAUAUAUCACACACACACCCCCCUCGUCUUACCAGACGUAGCUGUCCUGUCCUGCCAAUGCAUGGAAAACCCAGCCAACUGUAUAUUAUCCCUGUCGCAACGACUCUGUAAAACAUAAGAUAUUACAGUUUUUAAUGUCCUGUUGGUAGGAUAGUCUUGAACAGUGAUUUGGUUGACAGCCGUAUACCACGGGUAUGACAAUAUUUAUUUUUACUGCUGUAAUUAAGUUGGCAACCAGUUUAUAGUAGCAGUAAGGCACCUCAGGGGUUUGUGGUGUAUGGCCAAUGUACCACUCCGUGUUGCGUCGUGCCUAGGAACAGCCCUUAGCCAGGGUAUAUAGGCCAUAUCCCACACCCCCUCGGGCCUAAUUGCUUCCAUAGAAUGGAUGGUAGAGGUGGGUUACCCAGUUGCCAACAUAUUCUCACAAGGCACCCCGAUCUCCACCCCCUGUAUUUCCAUAUUUUCUACACGCAAAUUAUGGGAAUUUGGGCCUGAUCUAGGAGAAGCAGUACAUCCUUCGCGUCAGAAUCAUUAAAGACAAGAUCUUUGUCCAGUUCGAGGUGAGUAAUCGCUGUUCUGAUAUCCAGAAGCUCUUUUCGGUCAUAGGAGACUGUAGCAGCAACAUUAUGUACAAAAUAGGUUAGAAACAAUGUGGGAAAAAAACACAAAAUAGCACAGUUGGUUAGGAGACCGUAAAACUGCAGCCAUCCUCUCCGGCGCCAUUAUUGACCGAUGUCAGGGUCACGGCCUGUCACGGACAUCGACGGCCCGCUUUGAGGAUAAUACAGUGCUACCGACGCAGCCCGUUACCAAGGACUGUGAGCUCUCCUUCUCCGUGGCCGAUGUAAGACAUUUAAACGUGCUAACCCUCAGAAGGCUGCCGGCCCAGAAGUCAUCCCUAGCUGUGUCCUCAGAGCAUGCGCAGACCAGCUGGCUGGUGUGUUUACGGACAUAUUCAAUUUGUCCCUAUACCGGUCUGCUGUCCCCCACAUGCUUCAAGAUGGCCACCAUUAUUCCUGUUCCCAAGAAGGCUAAGGUCCACAGACGAUGCAAUCGCCAUCACACUGCACACUGCCCUAUUCCAUCUGGACAAGAGGAAUACCAAUGUAAGAAUGCUGUUCAUUGACUACAGCUCAGCAUUCAACACCAUAGUAGCUUCCAAGGUUGAGGCCCUGGGUCUCAACCCCGCCCUGUGCAAUUGGGUCCUGGACUUUCUGACAGACCGCCCCCAGGUGGUGAAGGUAGGAAACAACAUCUCUACUUUGCUGACCCUCAACACUAGGGCCCCACAGGGGUGCGUGCUCAGCCCCCUCCUGUACUCCCUGUUCACCCAUGACUGCGUGGCAAUGCACGCCUACAACUCAAUUAUCAAGUUUGCAGACGUUUCAACAGUAGAGGCUUGAUUACCAACAAUGACGAGCCUACAGGGAGGAGGUGAGGGCACUCGGGGUGUGGUGUCAGGAAAACAACCUCUCACUCAACGUCAACCAAACCAAAGGGGAUGAUCGUGGACUUCAGGAAACAGCAGAGGGAGCACUCCCCUAUCCACAUCGACGGGACAGCAGUGGAGAAGGUGGAACGUUUUAAGUUCCCCGACGUCGAUAUCACUGACAAACUGAAAUGGUCCACGCACACAGACAGUGUGGUCAAGGAGCAACAGUGCUUCUUCAACAUUAGGAGGCUGAAGAAAUUUGUCCUGUCAACUAAAAUUGUCACAAACUUUUACAGAUGUACAAUUGAGCAUAAAAAAACAACUUCCUCUCUAAGCCAUCAGACUUUUAAACAGCUAUUACUAACAGAGGCUGCUGCCUACAUACAGACAUGAAAUCAUUGUCCACUUUUAAUAAACAUGUUUACAUAUCUUGCAUCACUCAUCUCAUGUAUGUAUAUACUGUAUUUUAAAUCAUCUAUUGCAUCUUGCCUAUGCCGCUCUGUCAUUGCUCAUCCAUAUAUUUAUGUGUGUAUGUAUUUUUAUUCCUUUACCUAGAAUUGUGUGUGUUUUAGGAAGUUGUUGUGGAAUUGAUAUAUAUUUCUGCACUGUUGGAAGCACACACAUUUCACUACACUUUCAAUAACAUCUGCUAACGAUGUGUAUGUGACCAGUAAAAUUUUAUUUGAUGUCUGUUCAAUUACUUGAAUAGUAUUUUAGUUUGUUGUGUGAGCCCAUCGCAUCGUUUUCUCUAAAGAGAGACAUCAAGUUAAUAACUGUGGGACACUGGGCUGAAGGGAGUUGUAGUUUUCAUGAAUCAAAUAUUUAACCUACAUUGAACAAAAAAUAUAAACGCACCAUGUAAAGUGUGGGUCCUAUGUGUCAUGAGCUGAAACAAAAUAUCCCAGAAAUGUUCCAUAUUCACAAAAAGCACAUUUCUGUCAUUUUGUGCACAAAUUUGUUUACAUCUCUGUGAGUGAGCAUUUCUCCUUUGCCGAGGUAAUCCAUCCACUUGACAGGUGUGGCAUAUCAAGAAGCUGAUUAAACAGCAUGAUCACUACACAGGUGCACCUUGUGCUGGGGACAAUUAAAGGCCACUUUAAAAUGUGCAGGUUUGUCACACAACACAAUGCCACAGAUGUCUGAAGUUUUAAUGGAGUGUGCAAUUGGCACGCUGACUGCUGGAAUGUCCACCAGAGGUAUUGCCAGAGAAUUUAAUGUUAACUUCUCUGCCAUAAGCUGACUCCAACGUCGUUUUAGAGGAAUUUCCAGUGCGCCCACCCAGUCUCACAACUGCAGACCACUUGUAACUACGCCAGCCCAGGACCUCAACAUCUGGCUUCUUCACCUACGGGAUCGUCUAUUGGAGAGGGGGUGCAGAGGAGUAUUUAUGUCUGUAAUAAAUCCCUUUUGUUUGUAAAACUCAUUCUGAGUGGCUGGGCCUGCCUCCGCAGCGGGUGGGCCUGGAUGCAUAUUGGGUGGGCCGAUGCCCUCCCCGGCCUACCCAUGGCUGCGCCCCUGCCCAGUCAUGUGAAAUCCAUAGAUUAGGGCCUAAUGAAUUUAUUCAAAUCGACUGAUUUCCUUUAUAUGAACUGUAUCCCAGUAAAAAUCUUUAUUGCACAUGGCGGCGGUUAUAAACUGCUCAAGGGAACAGGGAACACUUAAACAAUACAAUGUAACUCCAAGUCAAUCACACUUCUGUGAAAUCAAACUGUCCACUUAGGAAGCAACACUGAUUGACAAUAAAUUUCACAUGCUGUUGUGCAAAUGGAAUAGACAACAGGUGGAAAUUAUAGGCAAUUAGCAAGACAUCCCCAAUAAAGGAGUGGUUCUACAGGUGGUGACCACAGACCACUUCUCAGUUCCUAUGCUUCCUGGCUGAUGUUUUGGUCACUUUUGAAUUCUGGCGGUGCUUUCACUCUAGUGGUAGCAUGAGACGGAGUCUACAACCCACACAAGUGGCUCAGGUAGUGCAGCUCAUCCAAGAUGGAACAUCAAUGCGAGCUGUGGCAAGAAGGUUUGCUGUGUCUGUCAGCGUAGUGUCCAGAGCAUGGAGGCGCUACCAGGAGACAGGCCAGUACAUCAGGAGACGUGGAGGAGGCCGUAGGAGGGCAACAACCCAGCAGCAGGACCGCUACCUCCGCCUUUGUGCAAGGAGGAGCACUGCCAGAGCCCUGCAAAAUGACCUCCAGCAGGCCACAAAUGUGCAUGUGUCUGCUCAAACGGUCAUAAACAGACUCCAUGAGAGUGGUAUGAGGGCCCGACGUCCACAGGUGGGGGUUGUGCUUACAGGCCAACACCGUGCAGGACUUUUGGCAUUUGCCAGAGAACACCAAGAUUGGCAAAUUCGCCACUGGCGCCCUGUGCUCUACACAGAUGAAAGCAGGUUCUCACUGAGCACAUGUGACAGACGUGACAGUCUGGAGACGCCGUGGAGAACGUUCUGCUGCCUGCAACAUCCUCCAGCAUGACCGGUUUGGCGGUGGGUCAGUCAUGGUGUGGGGUGGCAUUUCUUUGGGGGGCCGCACAGCCCUCCAUGUGCUCGCCAGAGGUAGCCUGACUGCCAUUAGGUACCGAGAUGAGAUCCUCAGACCCCUUGUGAGACCAUGUGCUGGUGCGGUUUGCCCUGGGUUCCUCCUAAUGCAAGACAAUGCUAGACCUCAUGUGCCUGGAGUGUGUCAUCAGUUCCUGCAAGAGGAAGGCAUUGAUGCUGUGGACUGGCCCGCCCGUUCCCCAGACCUGAAUUGAGCACAUCUGGGACAUCAUGUCUCGCUCCAUCCACCAACGCCACAUUGCACCACAGACUGUCCAGGAGUUGGCGGAUGCUUUAACCCAGGUCUGGAGAUCCCUCAGGAGACCAUCCACCACCUCAUCAGGAGCAUGCCCAGGCGUUGUAGGGAGGUCAUACAGACACAUGGAGGCCACACACACUACUGAGCCUCAUUUUGACUUGUUUUAAGGACAUUACAUCAAAGUUGGAUCAGCCUGUAGUGUGGUUUUCCACUUUAAUUUUGAGUGCAACUCCAAAUCCAGACCUCCAUGGGUUGAUACAUUUGAUUUCCAUUGAUAAUUUUUGCGUGCUUUUGUAAAGAACUAUGUAAAGAAAAAAGUAUUUAAUAAGAAUAUUUCAUUCAUUCAGAUCUAGGAUGUGUUAUUUUAGUGUUCCCUUUAUUUUUUUUGAGCAGUGUAUAUAUUAUUCCUUCGGUAUAGUUCAGCGCAGAAAUAUGUUAAUGAACUACAAUGACCAUAAUCCAUUGCACCUGUUCUUUCCGCCUCUAACAGAGAUGGAUACAUUUUCCUUACGCUACUUUUCUAAUACUUUAGGUUAGAUACUUUAGGUUAGAUACACACAGACUGGAUGAGAGCGGAAUGUACACACGAGGAGAGAGUGCGAUAGACAGUUUGUGAAAGUAUGCCUUAUUUACUUUGAAGAACUAGUCAAAUGAUUGUCAUAACUUUAAGGAAUGAAAAAUGGAAAAGUCGUCAAAUAAAAAGUCUGUUAUUUACACAA